UCAAUCCUCCACUUAGGCUUGGCUGUAAUAAAAACAAUUUAGGUUGAAAAUUUUCAAUCCAUUAACCACACUUAAACUUUUGGCCAUUUCAUUUUUCAUCACAAUUUUUCACAUAAGAUUAUAUCACACACCAACCAAAGCAAAGAGUAAUAGCGCCAUCGCGUUCUGAUCCUUUUCCCUAUCCUUAUCUCUUGUUAAUUUUUUGCUAUUUUUUAUUAAUUUCAAAUUGUUUUAAUUAUUUUUUAAAUUCUUAUGUUUCAAUGUAACGGUAUUUGAAUACUCAGUGAGUCCGUUAGUCUCGUCAAUAGUCUGAUUUUUUUGUUUUUUGUGUACAAAAUUGAAAGUUUUAACAUUAAGAUGGAUUAACAGAUUUAUUAAUUAUGGAUUUUAUCAUCAACGCCAUCUUGUGAAAAAAGGGUUAAUUAAAAAUGCCAAAGGCUGACUUUGUCUUUCUUCAAAACACUAAAUUUUCCCACUGAAUUUUUAAAUUAACAGGAGCUCGAUGUUUUCAAAUUAUUAAUAUUUAACAGUUCAAGGAAUCAUCUCAGUAAUUUUUUAAGUUUAAUGUGACAUUAAUUCAAUAUCUAAUCAUCAACUGGAUAAUCAUUGUAUCCGAAUUUAUUUUUAAAUUGAUCUAAAGCUUAAGCUAUACAGGCUUAGCAUUAAUUUGUGAAGAGCCAAAGCUAUAACAACUUGGACCAAACUUUCAUUGCUGUUCAAAGGCCAUCAGUUUAAAUACAGUACAGUAAGUCUUGUAACUUUAUCUUAAUCUUUAAAUGGUGUAAUCUCCUUUAUCUGAGACAUGGACUGACUUGAACAGAAUGGAAGAUGAAUGGUUUGACCUUUCAAUCAAAUAAUUGUUAUCAUUUGGUGGUAAUGUAUCACUUUUGGUCAAUCGUUGGUCAUCUUUAAACCAUGUAAAAUGUAUUUCGGGAUCACCCUUGUUGAUGAAACAUAUAAUGUUCACUUUAGUUCCUUCCUCUACUAAUCUGGAAGCUGGUAAGAAGACUUCAUCAAUUGUUGGUGAAGCUUUAAAAUAGGAUGGAGAUAAAAAAUUGUCAUUAGAAGGUUAAAGAACGGACAUUUCAGAGAAUCGGGCUGAUCUUAAUUAACACGAUCGAGGAACCAAUCUGACGUUUUUGGACAAGUGAAGGAAAGAAAAGUUGCGAUUGAUAUCAUCAUUGGACAUUAUAUCUUUUUCCAAUUCUAAUCAUCAAUUGGUCAUUUCUCAGCGGAUUAACAUACAAUAAUGAAGAUAAUGACGAUAAGAAGGAAGGAAAAGAGGAACAAAGAUCAAAAAGUGUGAUCACUGAUCAUCUAACGUGACGAGAAUUGUAAAUCAAUGUUGAAAUUAAAGUUGAUUACGGAAUUA